GAAAUAUCUGCAGCGGUCCCAGUAACAUUUCAUGAACGCAGCUGCAAGAACAAAACGUUCAACGUCGCAUCUCAACAUGUUUGUAUCCCAAUGAAAACUACUCUGAUGAUCUAUUUACUCCCCCGCUCUUUCAUUCGUUUCCACCUGCAGGAUGUGACUCUGUGUGCGGAGUGUUUUGUCAGUGAUGGUUAUUGGCGGUGCUGUAACUGUGCGCUCCCCCUCAUGCGUCAGGGCGCACGGAGAGCUGUUUUCUCUCCUCUGCUCUCUGCUGGACUGGAACAGCGCCUAAUCAUCCCCUCCUCACAGCGGGAGGUUUCAUGUUGUUUUCCACUUUGAUUCCCUCCACCUGUGCCCACAUGAUGUUCUACGAUUGCUUCACCUGGCUUUAAUCGCCGCUGCCAGGAUCACUGGAAAGCCUGGGAGUUAGAAAUGCGCUCCAGUUUCUAACAACUCCGUGAACACGCUGCUGCUGUUUGUGAACUGGACUUGUUUGCACUGAAAAGGGCCAAACGUGUGCAUAUGACCAAAUUUAAACACCGGAGCUGUUUGCUUGAAAAUCAAACCCUGAUGACAAAAACUAAGAAAACAAGGGCAACGCUAGCACACAACUUCAUUUCAACUGUCCCUCCACCUGAAAAAGUAAACGAUCACAACACCAGUAAAACCAGCCUCGAAAGAAAAGUGAGGUGAGAAAUGAGCCGCACAGCAGCAGCAUCACGAUUCGUUUUGCGGCUUCAAUAUGUGUUGGCAAAGUUAGAAAGUUCUUGGAGUCACUCUGUCCCUGCAGAGUGGCCCUUUGUGUGCUUUGUUUUCCAGAAGUGAAUCUUAUAUUGAAAGCUGAGCUCACAGGUCAGUCUGGCUUUGCAGACUCAGGACUUCAAAACACGAGGAAAUAAAUGGAGGGGGAACAAAAUGUGUUUUUGUCACUGCAGCUGCUGACAAAGUUUAUUCGAAGAAGUUGUAUUUUUCCAAGACUGAGUGACUCAUGUGAAAUGGUGGUGAUAACUGCGGGUUGAUGGAGCUGUAUCUUCAGUCUAAUCACUCACUCAUCCUCUGUGGCCGAGCUGCUGCAGUGAAAACAAUCUGUGGAUGUGGAGAGCAGAGGUGCGCUUUGGUGCUUAAUCAUUUUUUAGUCUAUAGAAUAUACAAAAAGAGCAAACAGUCCAGAGUGGCGUCUUUAUUUGUUCAACAAGCUGCUCAAAAUCAAUAAAUAUUCAGUUUACAACAGAGAAAAGAAGCAAAUCCUCACACUGGAGAAGCUGGAACCGAUUAUGUCAUGAAUGGAUUAGUUCAGAUCAUUCAUCAAGAAACAAAACGGACUUUCUCUCGUUCCAGCUUCUCAAAUGUGAGUUUCUGCAGCUUUUCUGUUUUUAUUUUUGGAUUUUAGUUGGUUGGUUGAAGGAAAAACCUGCAACAUGAAGCUGUGAGGGACAUUUUUUAAUCUCUCCUGACAUUUUGUAGACUAAAAAUCAGUUAUCUAAACUAAAAUAAUCUCCAGAUAACUCGAUAAUAAGAGACAGUCUUAACUGACAGAUGACAAACAAUUAAAGGUCCCUCUGAGAGUUAAGGCUCAGAUGGAUGCCACAGCUGCUGGUUAGCUUAGUUUAGCAUAAAGCCUGGAAACAAGGGCAUGACACGAAUAUAAAAACAUUAACAUGCUAUCUUGCCGGCCAUUUCUUCAUCAGUGGCAUCAAUCUGAACAUCGAACUCUCCGUCAGGCAGCAAAUAUGGGAAUUUUCCAAAACCUCAAACUAUUCUUUAACCAACUGUCAACACUGCCGUCAGAGAUUUCCCUCUUAUUGACUAAUCGAUUAAUCGUGUAAGCACUAGCGGGAAACACCUGCUGCUGGGAGGAAAGAAGUGCUGCGUAGUCAGACUGCGAUGAGCCCGAACACACAUUAACCGCCUGGUGUCACGGUUCACUAGACUCUGCCGUGAAAGAUGCACUGAGAAGCUGAUGCACUGGGUGAAACACUCCUGCAACCAGAGAGUCUGUUUGGUGAAGAAGCACUUUUCCUCCCCGCAGGUUUCCACAUGUACAGAAAGGAAAGACGGAGCAAACGGCUUUGUUUUUCAGCUCGACUGCGGCGGGUUUCAUGCGCGAUCGGCGGCUGGUAAAGAUUAAUCAGCCCUCAGAGGAGCUCCUAAUCCUUCAGACUCAAACAUGAAGACUCGGGAAUUAACAAGGUUUUUUUUUUUUCCCCACACAACAGAAGCUCACUUUUCAAACUAAACGCAGACUGCCAGACAAAUUUAUAAUCCCCAACAAGGACUCGACUGACGUCCUGCUGCUUUCCCGGGGUCUUUUACAUUUUGUUGUUUGGAAAAAAAGAGCAAAGAACAACUGGUGACGUUUGAUAACCACUGUGUCUGAACACCCCUCCCCCCCCCCAGUUCUCCUUGUGCUUCUCAUGUAAUCCCGUCGUUCAAAUAUAACUACCUGUCCGUGUGUGAAAACCCCAGAGGGCUGUUAAACAACACUUCCUGUUGUUGUUGUCCUCAAAGACUCUUCUAACCAUCUGAGUGAAAAAGAUCUUCAGUCUGCUGCACAAUAAAAGACCAGAAGAAACUUUUUGCAUCUAUAUUUCCUAUCCAUGGAUGCAACAUAUAUUCGUUCUUGCGUCGUAUGAUGUUAUUUUGUAUGAAAAUAUAAAAGAAAACAAUGUUACACAGACAAAUAAUGCUUUCCUUGAGACCUCCAUUUAUCAGCAUUAUAUUUAAACUUUUGCAGUUGAAAUCAGAUAUGAAGAUAUUUUAUUAAUGUACAGUAACUUCUAUGAAGAUAUAUUUGAUACAACACCUGUUUAACUAUGUUGUCAUUCCUGAUUACACUCACUAAAGGUUCACGCUGUACAUCUCUCAUUUCCUGCUGCCAUCUUCGUUUGCAUACGGAGACGAGAUUCGAGAAAUGAGUCAAAUCUUUUUUUAUUGUGCAGAGAACAAAAUACAUUUCUCUCUCUGGGUUUUCACAAAGAUCACUGGUUGUUCAUACUGUGGAAAUACAGAUGAUUCGCUCUGUGACUCAAAUCAUGAUGAUAGCAGAAAGGAAAGUUACUUUCUCUACAAUGCUGCAGCGUUUAGAAGUAAACACCAUCUGAGACGGACCCACGGAAAACAGAGCAGAACUGGACGGGAGAGUAAAGAGAACCUGAAGGGAGGCGAGGACAGUCAGACCCGGUCCAAAACACCACCAACAGGAGGACACUGGCAGCAGCUGGACGUGCCGACAAAUAAAUAAAUAAAUCAAUAAAGUGAGGUCAAACAAAAUCAUUCAAAACAUCUUUAUGCUUCAGAGACAAAUUUAAAGUCCUAUUUUCACCUCCAGCAGCAGAAAGUAAAAUUCAGCAAUGAUGAAGACAAACCAUGUGAUCAGAGCUGACAGAGUCCCUGUGGAUCCACUCCAGUAUCAGACCCUUUGGCAACAGAACAGGACCCCACAUGGACCUAAUAAAACUGAAUCCUGUCACACACGCUAAGCAUUAAAACCUCUUCCUGGUGACCCAAGCUAAAGCUGCAGCAGCACUGUGGGAAACAUGUAAACCUGGUGACCUCGUCCUCCACCUCCAGGACUUCACCGUUUAUUAAAAAAAGAAAUAAGAACUGCAAGUUAAAAUAUGGAUUUCCGUCUGGAAGAACAUUCGUAGUUUCUGUACUCACAUCCUCAGAUACACCUUUCAAAAUAAAAGCUCACGUACGCGCAUCUACGGUGUCAAUCAAAACGACGGCACCGUGUCCAGGAAAUAUUUGGUUUAUAGUUUCAAUCGCAAGGAAAAGUACACUACAUGGCCAAAAGUAUGUGGACACUACAGACAUCAAUGUGCUGCUCCACCCCGUGGUGUGAAAUCCACGCACCUCCCCAACAUUUUGACCAGCGUUUGACUCAAGACUUUUUUUUCUUAAACCAUAAAAAGGAAAAGCUCUUUGUGGACUUUCAUAUUAAAACAGAAAAGGGGACAAAGCCGGAAGAACACUACCGUCCAAAACUGCUAAAUAAAUAAAUCUGAGGGGUCACAAGAUGGGAGAGAAUUAAAAACAUUUUACAUAAUCAUAAAGAUACUUUCACCAUUUCUGUGUCAAAUAAACAGUUUGGGGGGAAAGUCACUUCUUUUUUUUAUUAUCCAGUCUGGAAUCACAGACAUAUCAAACCUGUGAAGAGAGGUCACACAAAGGUUUGGAAGCAGCCAUCUCAAGCAUCAUUUCAUGCUGGAACUUUAAGAUUUCCCUUCAUUACAACUGAGGAGGAGGAAUCAGGAAAAUCAGCCCCAGACCAGAAGCAAGUGUCUGCAUACGUUACGCCACAUAGUGCAGUUUCACUGAAACGGCCCGAGAGAAAAACAAAUACCAGCAAACUUUUAAAAAUAAACUUCCUGAAAAUCCCGAUUGUUUGUUAGUAUAAAUUCUGUCCAGAUCAGAUCACGUGUCCUUAUUCUGCCGUCCUUCCUCAACCCUCAAACCCAGUGAAAACUAUUUCUCAUAUUAAAAAAUAACGAUAUGUGUGACGGCUGAUCUGCGGGGUGAACGCUCGAGGUCGGCUGCUUCUCUGCAGACACUCACUCUCUCAUUCACUCAGACUGUGGAAUCACAGUAACAUGGCGUGCGUGACGGCCAUGAACAUAAGGCAAAACAAGAAGCAGCGGCGUGGCGUCGCUGCCGUCCUCUCUCUGCACCAACCUGCUGCAGUUUCCUCGGACGUCUCGCGGUGACCGAGCGGCCCCGGAGACGCAGACAGGCCGACGGACUGCCGUCUGGUUUUUAGCAAUUAAUACUCGAGAAAAAAAGCCGACCAGGUUCUUUUAUAAAAGCUUUAGUACUGGACCAUCAUCCUCAGCACCGUUUGGACUUGUUAGAAAAUUAUAAGAAAUUCUUUAAAAACAACAAAGUCUGUCUGUCAUUGGUUCGUGUUGAUGCUUCAGCUCUCAGGUCCGUUUCAGUGGAACUCCACGAACUCCUCCAGCGUUUUGGGGAUCUGGUUGCGGUAGGUGAUCUGGUGCUGCCGGACGGCGCGCGCCGCCAGGCACUUGAGGCUCAUCUUCAUCUGCGUCUUCAGCAGGAUCUCCGACACGCCGGUGGUGCUCUUGUCCAGAGGGGUCUUCUUCUGCUUGUUGGUCAUGUCCGUGUGGGCGCCGGCCUCCACCAGGUUGAUGAUGAUGGCGUGCAGCGUGAGGAAGUCGCUGAUGGGCCGGUUGUACUGGACGAUGACGUGCAGCGGGGUGUUGCCUUCGUGGUCGACGGCGUUGACCUGCGCGCCGCAGUCCAGCAGCAGCUUGGUGACCUGCGCGCUGGGGAAGCUGCAGACGUCGUUGGUGUGGAAGUCGUCGACCGGUGUGGUGGAGCUGAUGGCCAGGUGGAGCAGAGAGGAGCCUUCACGGGACCGCGGGUCCAGCUGGAUCAGGUUGUAGAUGUGCUUGUUGAUGCGGGCGCGCUCCUCGUCGCCGCAGGUCGUCUUGGUAGAGAUGCAGGCGAGGUACAGAAAGGUAAAAACGUUUGACUCGUAACUGUCCAAGGCCUGCGGCAGCUCUGGUUCAGCCGCCGUCUCCACUCGGGCCAUGCUUCGCUGAAUCUCCACCACGCUGCAGCUCAACACCUGCUCCACGGCUGAGGCCAAAACCUGCUCCUUCAGGUGGACCAUCUGGGAGAAGACCUGGGCGAAGCGCAGCAGGUCCUUGUGCGUGUUCCGGUUGCCUUUCUGCCGCAGACGGAGCGCGUGAAGCCACAGUUUGAUGCACUGUUCAAACUCCAUGUUAUCAGCGUAGACGGCGCCGCGAUAUAUGAUGGGGUGUGACACGUCGAUAUUGUCCGAACCCAGGAUGCGCUCCCGAAUCAUCAGCCCCUCCAUGUGCAGAGCGUCCCUGUCCACGCGGAUGGCAUCCAGUUCUUGGGGUGUCCGGCACUCACAGCGCCCCCCGUAGGCCUCGAUGGGCGGCAGCAGCUCCUUGUCGAUGACGUUUUCUGGGUCACGGUAGCGCUCCGUCAUGGCCGUCUGCAGGUAGUGGUACGUCUUCUGGAUGUCGUAGUUCUCCCGGUCGUUGGCGAACGAGGCGCCCAGCAGCUCCAGGGCCUCGAUGCGGCUGCACGGGUCGCAGUCGGCGUGCGCCAGCAGCAGCUCCACCACGUCUGCUUUGCAGCUCUCCGCAGCGACCUUCAGCGGCGUCAUGCCGUGUCCGUUCACCACCAUGGCGGCCUGACAGCGCACCAGCUCUUUUACAAUCUCCAGAUGGCCCGCCUCAGCUGCAAAGUGCAGGGCAGUGGCCCCGCAGUGGGCCUUGGCGUUGGGGUCCGCCCCCUGCUCCAGCAGGAACUUCACGACAUCUGUGUGGCCCUUAUAGGCUGCGAUCAUCAGGCAGGUGUUGUUGUACUUGUUGGUGAUGCUGAUGUCGGCGUUGUGUUCCACCAGGUAGCGGACGAUGUCCAGGCGCCCGUCGAAGCAGGCGGCCCGCAAGGGGGUGGAGUUGGUGAUCGUGGUGUGGUUAACGUUGGCACGGUGACUCACCAGCAGGCGCACCACCUCAAAGUGCCCCGCUCCAGCUGCACACCACAGCGCUGUGGCCCCGUCGAUGACGUAGCUGCAGGACAGACAGGAGACAGACUUCAACUUUACAACAUUCAGGAUGUGACUUUCAAGUGCAGCACACCCUGGUCUCAGUCUGAAACCUGUUCUGGUCUUCAAGACGCGAACCACUCAGGAAUAAAUGCAUUUAAUCUUUAACGCAUAAAUGGAUCCAAAACUUAACUUCAACUUGUUGGAUCUGUAUGGCUGCAACAAAUAAAUAUUUUCAUUGUCUAUU